UCACGCACAGGGCAAACCAUCUGAAAGGGUGGGACGCAAAGCCUCCGGCCUAAACCAAAUACUGUUUUGGUAGGUAGCGGGGUUCCCGAU
rnacentral:ncRNA from 1 species